rnacentral:lncRNA from 1 species
GUCGUUAGGUGACAUGUGCACUUUAAAUGCUCUCAUCGGUUGGCUUCAUUUUCAAGACAAUCAAAUGUAUUGACUGUGUUUUCUUCUUAGAAAAUGGAGAGGGUUAAAAACAUGCAAACUGCCACUUUCAACCUUUGCCAGUAUUCCCUCUACCCCCGUGAGAGCUAUCUGGGGGGAAGAAUCCUUACCAAGGUUUUUUUGGAAAGGGUUAAAGGCGUGCAACCCCCCACUGGCUGUGUCCCCUGCCACCGAAGUGAGUGACCUGCCCUACAACCAGGUGGGACCACCUGUGCUGCAGUCCGGAGGGGCUUCUGCAGGAAGCACUCACCCCCCACACCUUCCCCGGCCUGAGCUUCCCCUACCUUUCGUCACCACCUGAGGGCAUGAGCACAGGCCAUGGGGCGUGCCUGGUGAGUCUGCCUGUGGUUCAGGCUUAGCCUGUGGUCUCCUGUGUGCUGCUGCCCGCAUGGGAUGCGCAGGGGAGGCGUGGGGAUCCGCAGGAGGGUGGUUGGGAUACACCGGAUACCUCUGCUCUCAUUGCUUGUUUGCAAAUGCUCUAUGGACAUUUGUGUGCUAAAUCCUAUUAAAUAAAAAAGACGGGUUAAAACCCA